AUAGUACUUUUUAAAGAAAAUACAAAAGUGAAAUUUAUUUUCCACUGCUUUCCAUUUGAUGCAAAAUCUCCAAGCAAUGUUUGCAGCUAAAGAAGAAAUACAGCUGUAUUGUAUUUUCUCACUUCUCAGAAUGAGGGCAUCAGUGGAAAGCCCAGCAAUUGUUGUCCAUCCCUAGCAGAGAUGAGUGAUUCGGUAUAAUUUGCAAGAAGGUUGGGACGGCAGCCAUGGAUCAACCACGAUAGUCAAAUAAAGGCCAGGACCAAGAGUAGAUCCAGACAGACAAGAUAAAUUUUCAACAACGACGUGCUGCUUCUUCCUCCCCUGUUAAAGUGGAUACACUAGUCACUAAGCAAUCCGUUCUUCUGAAACAAUUCAGCUUCAACAACAAAAGGAACAAAUUCUUUGUCAUGAUUGUGGAAGAUUAAAUUCACCUUGAAAAAAACUUUUAGGAAAACAAGAGAACAGCAGUGUGCAUCAGGUGUAACAGCAACUCCAUUUGGACGGAACUGGCUUCCAGUGGAGCUGCUGUUACUUUCGAUGGGCACUAACAUAUCAAGGAUCCCUUCCCUAUUGAAGACACACUGUUUCUAGUCAUUAACUGACCUAAUAAUGUUGUUGAUUUUCUAUGAGGUUCAGGUGUACAGGAGUAUGACCUAUGAAUUGACAGCCAGUGCAAUUACAGAUUUGCCUGUCAGUUCUAUAGGCCACUAUCCUGUCCACUACAAUUAUACGAAGGUUAAAUCCACACUUUGGGAACACAACUUAUGUCUCUACUUUCUAAAAUAUAUAAAGUAGAGAUCUGAAUUUAUUCCACUAUAACAGUUCAAAUGAACUUCUGUUCUUUUGCAUUUUAAAAAAAACAUGUUUGUAACUAUUAUUCCAACUACCUUGCAACGUGUUAUUACAAAUAUGUACUUCACAGUAAUAAAACAUGUAAACCAAAA